UGAGGAUGGGAUUGUUUUUUUCCCUGAGCUGGGAGAGACCAUGCCAGCCCCUGGAUCCACAAGUGUGCAGCUCAGAGCCUCCAGUGCUCAGCAAGAGGAGGACCUGGACUCCCUGUGUCCUUCGUGCUCCCCAUGAAUUCAAUUAGGUACACUUCCACUAUCUUAUUUACUAUUUUUUUCCUGACAGCACAGGCAGUGGUAAGGUCCAGACUUCCAUCAAUACAACAGAUGGACGCAGCUCAAAAGGUGCCUUCAGAGCCUGACUCUUGAGGAAGUGUAAUGAUCUGGGAGAUGUGAGGAUGAAAGAGAAAAUUAAGAAAGCUGGACACUCUCUCCUGUGCCCUCAGGAGGGAGCCAAAUACUUCUGUUGAACAAAGAUGGGACGGCAGUAGCUGCAAGUGCUGGAUGCCACUUCUUUCAAUGGCUUCUGUACUGACAUGGCAGGGCUCAGAGCAGUCACGGGACACGGCACCGCAUUCUCUGCUGGCAGAUAAGGCUGAGGGCCAUGGGAUAUCUCACACACUGCCUUCAGCACCUCCUGCUGCUGGGGUGGAACGGAGUGCGGCGUUGCAUUCUGCACCCUGCAGAGCCUCCUGCUGGGAGGAAGGGGACCAGAGGAGCUGCAUUUUACUCACCCACGAUCCACCAUCUCACCCUCUGCAACAAUGGAGGCAGCCUAGAAUUACGGUACUGUCGCAGCUGUCUGCACUGAGCUGUGUAUUGCAUUUCCACCAUUCUCUGCGCUGCCUCCUGCUGACAUAACCUAGGACUGGAGCAGCUAGAAAAUAAACCAACCACCAAGAAAA